rnacentral:rRNA from 1 species
UACGUAGGGACCGAGCGUUGUCCGGAUUCAUUGGGUUUAAAGGGAGCGUAGGCGGACUUGUAAGUCAGUGGUGAAAUCUUUGGGCUUAACCCAGAAACUGCCAUUGAUACUGCAGGUCUAGAGUACAGUUGCCGUUGGCGGAAUAUGACAUGUAGUGGUGAAAUACUUAGAUAUGUCAUAGAACACCGAUUGCGAAGGCAGCCAACGAAACUGUAACUGACGCUGAGGCUCGAAAGUGCGGGGAUCAAACAGG